UCAAACACAGUAUUAGAAGAAUGGUGUUCCUAAUAAUCCUUUUGGUGAGUGUGUCUAUAUAUAAAUUUGGAAUAUUCUUUAAAGCUUCUGUGUUUCUGUUCCUUUAGGUUGUAUGUAUCAGGGUCGGGACUGUCGGUUGGUCAUUCACUAUGAGCAAGGUUUCUCUGUCAUAGCAGAUGGAGACGUCAGCUCUCUGGCACAGACACUUUUCAGCUACCCGUUUGAAAAGCUGAAGAUGUCUGCUGACGACGGCGUACGGAUCCUCUAUCUGGAUUUUGGUGGAAAUGAGGGUGAAAUUCAACUGGACUUGCACUCCUGUCCUAAGCCUAUUGUUUUUAUCCUCCACUCCUUCCUAUCAGCCAAGAUUGCAAGAUUAGGAUUGGUAGCCUGAGACUGAACUGUCAUAGACUGAAACAGUGACGUGAUUAUUUCAACACUGAGAAGGGAAAUCCAGAACGAGGUGGAACCCGCAAGACUGAGUGAGGACGAUGAUGCAGAACUCACGCUGUAGCAGACCUCUGAAUGAUUUCAAAUGCAUUUCAGUAAUGAUAAACUAUGUAUUUUUCAGAGAAAAAUCAAUGUGAAAUUGUAUUUCACUAUAAUUAAUAUUUCAAGAGAGAGAAAAAAAAAAUCAAACUAUAUAAUGAACACUAGCUCGUGAUUGUAACUGGAAGUAUUAUUUUAGAAUCCAAUACAGCAGAAUAUUCAGCACUUACAGUACCAUUAACUUCUAUAUAACGGUAAGGAAGGCGGCCAUCUGUAUGACAGCUGUCUGAGUUAUUGCAUCUGUCUGGCAGCUUAUGUGGAUUAAAGAAAGGUUAGUUUAAACCCUGUUAAUGCACAUAAAAGUUGAAACAUCUUGUUUAGUUUCUGGUGCUUUCACUCGGGAAAUGCACUACACCGACGGUUGAGCAGAAUCAACAAGGACAUUCUAGAGUGCCGGUCAUCAAAGAGGCAUGUCAACAAACUGUCUGCUUUCACAAGGCCUUUGUGACAAAAGGGGAAAAUCGAGGCAGGGUCAGCCCUCCCCUUCAGAACAGUGUAUCUGUUUCCACAGACAAAUGGAGUUUCGGUGGCUUUAACGGACGUUUCACUUCCAAAAUCAGGAGUACAAACCUGUGACAUGCAAGAGAAAACUUUAGAAACGCCGCCACAUUUGUGUAGUUGUUUUUUUUUUUUUAAUAUGCAUCUGAAGAAUGUUCUCAAAUUACUGCGGAAUGUGCAUGCAUGUACGUUCGCAUAACUAUUGUGGAGGCUCAGAUUCGCUCGCGGUGGCCCGUGGUCAUAUACAAACACAAAGGCCAUUGAAGUACUUCAGAUGUCAGAUUAUGAAUUAGAGCACUCGGGAAUUUCCAAGUUAACCAGCAAUUAGUGUCCAUUGUUUGGGCACCGAGCGUUCCCAGAGCACUCCUCCAUUGUGGGGGUCAUGUGUUUGGGGACAGUAGGGCCCCUGUGGCAAAGCCUUUGUCUCAUCUGUGAAACCAUCCCAGCCACAUUCCAGCACACAUGACAGAUCCAAGAGUCACAGGCCUGGGAACCUGCUUUCGACAGUAAAGGGAUAUUUCAUUCUAAAAUUACAUUUCUUUCAUUUUCUCACCCUCGUGUCAUUACAAACUCGAUUUGACCACAAAAGAUAAUGAAUUUGAAGAAUGAUUAUGUUCGAAUUAUGAAAGUCAAUUAAAUUUUGAAAGUCCAAGACUAUCAAGCUCCAUAAGCACAUAGUGUGAAGUUAUGAUGUGUUCAAGCCAAGCUGGAACAUACUCAGACUCAAAAUUGUGCAUUUGUAUGGCAACACUGUUAAUGUCAAAGUGAAUCUGAGUUUGAGACUUUGAGUGCUCAAAAGACAAAACCACAAUACAAAUAACAGUUGUUAUGCAAAUGCAUUUGUUAAACAAUUUAUGUAGUGUAACAUUAGACUAAUAAACUUUGUGCUUGCUUGACUAAACUAUUGUAUGUCAAGUUUCAGAUUAUUCUUUUGUUAAAAACAUGAACAUAGUUAUUAAUAAUCAAUACUAACAAAUUGAAACAAAUAUUAUGUAAUAACUAGAUUUUAUUGCUGAUGCAGCUGGCAUUGCUUUUCCACAUGAUGUGAUAGUGGUCAGGUGGUCAGAGCUUUCAAGUUGUAAUUACAAGUUCUAGGAUGUAAAUGCUUUUUACAAGUACAUCUCGCAAUUACAGUAAAUUUGACAUGAUGUGAACAGCCUUUAAUACAUACGACUUAGGUCUACUGAAGCGAUUUUAAUAUUUUUUAUUCAUUCUUAAACAAAUGAAAACACUGGUCAAUGCAAAUACAAAUAUUGUGAAAUAUUUAAACUAAGGAUGCAGAUUAUCGACUAAUUCAUUAAUCGUCAGUUGACCAAACUUAUCGAUCGAUUAUCGAUUAACUGAUAAUUGGCUAUUUUCCUGAGGAUGUCAAUUUCUCACAUUAUCAAAUAUCUUUAACGUAAAAAGCUAAAUAUUACUUAUAUACUGAAUAAAAAUGCAUGGUAUAUUGCUCAAUUGAUAUUUUAUUGUAACAGUUGAGAUACGGUACAGAUAAUGGCAUUUAUGUA